rnacentral:rRNA from 1 species
AGGGCACCACCAGGAGUGGAGCCUGCGGCUUAAUUUGACUCAACACGGGGAAACUCACCCGGCCCGGACACCGGAAGGAUUGACAGAUUGAUAGCUCUUUCUUGAUUCGGUGGAUGGUGGUGCAUGGCCGUUCUUAGUUGGUGGAGCGAUCUGUCUGGUUAAUUCCGAUAACGAACGAGACUCUAGCCUAUUAAAUAGACGUCGGGUUCUCUGCACUCGACGGUCUUCUUAGAGGGACAAGGUGCUUUUAGCACCGCGAAACAGAGCAAUAACAGGUCUGUGAUGCCCUUAGAUGUCCGGGGCCGCACGCGCGCUACACUGAAGGAAGCAGCGUGUAACAACCUUGUUCUAACGAACUGGGUAACCCGUGGAACUUCCUUCAUGAUUGGGAUAGGGGUUUGCAAUUGUGCCCCUUGAACGGGGAAUUCCCAGUAAACACUAGUCAUCAGCUAGUGCUGAUUACGUCCCUGCCCUUUGUACACACCGCCCGUCGCUACUACCGAUUGAAUGGUUUAGUGA